rnacentral:lncRNA from 1 species
GACCAUCAUAGAAUCUUGUGCACAUGAAUCCAUGUUUUGGUUCAUAUCCAGACAUGGCAUUAAGAUUAUGUAUGGGGUGUUCUGAAUAUGAUGGAGUGUGUGUGGAGGUUGUGAGUAGGUCAACAUAGAAUCGAUCACUCCUAGUAAGAGGAGAUCGCAUCCUGUGUAUUCUCAAUCUUAGAUGACUAAGAAAAAAAUUUUUGAUCAAAAGUAGGAAGGAUAUUAGAAAGAGUUUCUAAUGCUUCUUUAUUAGAGUCAUCAUUGAUUAAUUGAGAGUCGAUAUGAAUAUGUUUGAGUUUGAUAUGGUUCCAUACUCAUGAACAUA